AAUACAAUGUGUAGCUUUUUAAGAGCAUCAUUGCUGCAAGUAAGUGGUGGUAAAAACCUCCUGUAAAAUAACAAGUUUUUUUACUUAAAUGAAAUAUGGCUUAAAAAGUUGACUAAGGUUAUUAUAUACUUUGAAAAAUCUUUAGUUAUAAAGACGUUAGAGACUAAUUAAGUAAAAUUAACGUGGUAUUAUCCAUACAACCUAAUUGUUGUUAUACAGUAACUAUAAUGGUUGUAACAUCAAUCUGACAGUCGGCGAGAAGGAAGCUAAGACUGAGAGAGUCGCUAGUUCAGACACUCGGUUCUCAUGUUUAGUGUUCACGAGUUUAAACAUCCCCCACUUGUCUACAGCAUGAAAAAACAGAACAUACGCACAUGCUUAUGAAAUGAUUAGGCAAAACGAGAGGUGAUGUUCACUAUUACAAAAAACACAUAAGCACAAUGUCAAUUUUAAGAGCCUGGUGUACCAUAAAGACUACUACUGUAUUUAUGCACAUUCGAAAAGGUAUGCACAAUAAAAGACCAUGAAAGUCAAUAAAAACUGCUGUUAAUGAGCAAGACUAAAGAAAGCGUUAAUCAACCUCAAGCGACAAGAAGAUCGGGUUGUGAUAGGGCUAGAGGAAGUAAGUAUCAAGGCUAAAUAUGCAUACAAUCAUACAACGUAACUUCACAGAAGAAAUAGCUUAAAUUUAUUAACUUGCUGACAUAUUUUUAUAUCAAGUAUUGGAUGAUACUACAGGCUGCUUCUAUAGGGAAAAGAAAACCAAUAAACAUCAGAGUGGUUACAAACUAUACAAACAUGUGCAAGAAUCCAGCCUUGAAUUUGCUUGCAUUUAUACAGUGGAUGGCGACGUACCAUUGCAUGCGCUGUAUUUUAAAUGUUAAAUCAAAAUCAGCAUCGAUUUUAUGAUUGGCACAAAAAAUAAGAAGAAUGUUCUGAGCAUCACAGAUAUUUAUGACUCAAUUGGAAGUGAAAUGUCAGCUGCUAUUGUUGGCCUCCAUUCAGGACAUUGGGAAAGUGAAGGCCUAUAAAGUUGUGAAGAAUUCCCCACAAUGUCAAAGAGCAUUUAAGAAUUUGGGAACUCUUAUUUACGAUGCAUUUCUGACUGUCUGUGAAACGCCAUCAUUUCACAGUAGUGUUUUUUCUGGGUGUUUUAAGUGAUUUUAAGCUAGCAGACCAAUUGGAAUAUAUUUUUUAGACCAUAUGGAACAUAUACUACUCAAACCUUUUAGUUUACAUGACUCUCAACAAUUAAGUCCCUAUUGCUCGCUGGCUAUUCACAUUUUUGCCAUACAUUUUUGCUGUAAAAAUCUCUACGCCACACUUGUUAAUUCAAGAAUUGCAUGUGCAGUUUCCGAGAUGAAAAGAGGAUAGUUAUUCAGUUUUUGAAAUGAUUGGUGCAUUGAAAAGUAACAAAAACUUUUAUUUCAAACCUGAUGGAUUUUGCUAUUAGGUAUAACUAUCACAUACUGCUUUAAUGGAGCAACAUGUUGGUGCUGCAAUUGAGAGAUCUUUUUACUAUGACCAGAAAUAGUUUUUGAAAAGUAUGUCUCUAUAUAUAUAACAGUCAGAGACAACUGCAAAUUAGACACGCCAGCUUACUCAAAAAGUCAUCUUUGUACUUUGCAGGAAUAGUAAAUAAUAUAUACAUUAAAUGUUUUUUGCAUUGGCUAAUUAGGUUAGGUAUAGACUAUUUGGGCUAUGGACAGCCAUAUUAACAAAAAUAGACUUACAGUACCGUAAAAAGG